rnacentral:rRNA from 1 species
AGCAGCCGCGGUAAUUCCAGCUCCAAUAGCGUAUAUUAAAGUUGUUGCAGUUAAAAAGCUCGUAGUUGAAUUUCGGGGUCAGCAGGUUGGUCGUGCCACUGGUAUGUACUGGCUUUGCUGAUUCCUCCUUCUUGUAGAACCGUAAUGCCAUUAAUUUGGUGUUGCGGGGAAACAGGACUGUUACUUUGAAAAAAUUAGAGUGUUUAAAGCAGGCUAACGCUUGAAUACAUUAGCAUGGAAUAAUGAAAUAGGACGAGCGAUCCUAUUUUGUUGGUUUCUAGGAUUGACGUAAUGAUUAAUAGGGAUAGUUGGGGGCAUUAGUAUUCAAUUGUCAGAGGUGAAAUUCUUGGAUUUAUUGAAGACUAACUACUGCGAAAGCAUUUGCCAAGGAUGUUUUCAUUAAUCAAGAACGAAAGUUAGGGGAUCGAAGACGAUCAGAUACCGUCGUAGUCUUAACCAUAAACUAUGCCGACUAGGGAUCGGAUGAUGUUAAUUUUAUAAUGACUCAUUCGGCGCCUUA